rnacentral:rRNA from 1 species
CGGCCGCGGUAUCCUGACCGUGCAAAGGUAGCAUAAUCACUUGUUCCCUAAUUAGGGACUAGAAUGAAUGGCCAAACGAGGAUUCAACUGUCUCUUAUUUUUUANUCAGUGAAAUUGACCUUUCAGUGAANAGGCUGAAAUACUAAAAUAAGACGAGAAGACCCUAUGGAGCUUAAAUUAAAAGUUUAAUUUUACUNUUAUUAACCUAAUGGUUUAACACAAAAAUUUUAAACUCUAAAUUUCGGUUGGGGUGACCUCGGAGAACAAAAAA